UACGUAGGGUGCGAGCGUUGUCCGGAAUUAUUGGGCGUAAAGGGCUCGUAGGCGGUUUGUCGCGUCGGGAGUGAAAUCCACUGGCUUAACUGGUGGCUUGCUUUCGAUACGGGCAGACUGGAGGUAUGCAGGGGAGAACGGAAUUCCUGGUGUAGCGGUGAAAUGCGCAGAUAUCAGGAGGAACACCGGUGGCGAAGGCGGUUCUCUGGGCAUGUCUUGACGCUGGAGGAGCGAAAGCGUGGGGAGCGAACAGG
rnacentral:rRNA from 1 species